rnacentral:rRNA from 2 species
GUGGCAUGGCGGCAGCUAUAAUGCAGUCGAGCGGACAGAUGGGAGCUUGCUCCCUGAUGUUAGCGGCGGACGGGUGUAACACGUAAUAACCUGCCUGUAAGACUGGGAUAACUCCGGGAAACCGGGGCUAAUACCGGAUGGUUGUUUGAACCGCAUGGUUCAAACAUAAAAGGUGGCUUCGGCUACCACUUACAGAUGGACCCGCGGCGCAUUAGCUAGUUGGUGAGGUAACGGCUCACCAAGGCGACGAUGCGUAGCCGACCUGAGAGGGUGAUCGGCCACACUGGGACUGAGACACGGCCCAGACUCCUACGGGAGGCACCGGUAGGGAAUCUCGCAAUGGACGAAAGUCUGACGGAGCAACGCCGCGUGAGUGAUGAAGGUUUUCGGAUCGUAAAGCUCUGUUGUUAGGGAAGAACAAGUACCGUUCGAAUAGGGCGGUACCUUGACGGUACCUAACCAGAAAGCCACGGCUAACUACGUGCCAGCAGCCGCGGUAAUACGUAGGUGGCAAGCGUUGUCCGGAAUUAUUGGGCGUAAAGGGCUCGCAGGCGGUUUCUUAAGUCUGAUGUGAAAGCCCCCGGCUCAACCGGGGAGGGUCAUUGGAAACUGGGGAACUUGAGUGCAGAAGAGGAGAGUGGAAUUCCACGUGUAGCGGUGAAAUGCGUAGAGAUGUGGAGGAACACCAGUGGCGAAGAAUACUCUCUGGUCUGUAACUGACGCUGAGGAGCGAAAGCGUGGGGAGCGAACAGGAUUAGAUACCCUGGUAGUCCACGCCGUUCAAGAUGAGUGCUAAGUGUUAGGGGGUUUCCGCCCCUUAGUGCUGCAGCUAACGCAUUAAGCACUCCGCCUGGGGAGUACGGUCGCAAGACUGAAACUCAAAGGAAUUGACGGGGGCCCGCACAAGCGGUGGAGCAUGUGGUUUAAUUCGAAGCAACGCGAAGAACCUUACCAGGUCUUGACAUCCUCUGACAAUCCUAGAGAUAGGGACGUCCCCUUUCGGGGGCAGAGUGACAGGU